rnacentral:rRNA from 1 species
ACUGGAGGCCCGAACCAGUACACGUUGAAAAGUGUUUGGAUGAGCUGUGGGUAGGGGUGAAAGGCCAAUCAAACUGAGAGAUAGCUCGUACUCCCCGAAAUGCUUUUAGGAGCAGCGUGUGGAGAUGUUUGUUAGAGGUAGAGCUACCGAUUGGACUAGGGGGAGUCACAUCCUACCAAAUCCAGACGAACUCCGAAUGCUAAUAAAUUAUCCAUGCAGUGAGGGUUUGGGUGCUAAGGUCCAAAUCCGAGAGGGAAAGAACCCAGACCUACGGCUAAGGUCCCUAAAUCCGCGCUAAGUUGAACUAAGGAGGUCCAAUUGCUUAGACAGCCAGGAUGUUGGCUUGGAAGCAGCCAUUCAUUUAAAGAGUGCGUAACAGCUCACUGGUCGAGCGAUAGGGCAUCGAUAAUAAUCGGGCAUCAAGUGCGGUACCGAAGCCUAGGAUAGAAAUAUGGUAGGGGAGCAUUCUCUGUGGGGCGAAGGUGUGCUGUGAGGCAUGCUGGACUGCAGAGAAGCGCAAAUGUAGGCAUAAGUAACGAUAAUGCGGGCGAGAAACCCGCACACCGAUAGACUAAGGUUUCCCCGGCAAUGCUAAUCAGCCGGGGGUUAGUCGGGGCCUAAGGCGAACCCGAGAGGGGUAGUCGAUGGAUAAUCGGUUAAUAUUCCGAUACUACCCAUAACUGCGAUGGGGUGACGGAGGAGUGAAAGUCUCGCGUACUGACGGAAUAGUACGUUGAAGCGUGUAGGUAAAUUGAGUGUAGGCAAAUCCGCACUUGAUGCUGAACGUGAUAGUACCACAACGCUACGGCAGCGUGGAUAGUAGACCUAAUCAGACUUCCGAGAAAACCCUCUAAGCUACAGGUUAUGGGUACCCGUACCGUAAACCGACACAGGUAGUCAAGGAGAGAAUCCUGAGGUGCUCGAGUGAUUCAUGGCUAAGGAACUAGGCAAAAUGACCCUGUAACUUCGGGAGAAGGGGUCCCUACGUGAGUAGGGCGCAGCGAAACGAUCCAGGCGACUGUUUAUCAAAAACACAUGGCUUUGCGAACUUGAAAGAGGAAGUAUAAGGCCUGACACCUGCCCGGUGCUGGAAGGUUAAGGGGGGGAGUUAGCUUCGGCGAAGCUCUGAACUGAAGCCCCAGUAAACGGCGGCCGUA